rnacentral:rRNA from 1 species
GCGAUCAUACCAGCACUAAUGUGCCGGAUCCCAUCAGAACUCCGAAGUUAAGCGUGCUUGGGCGAGAGUAGUACUAGGAUGGGUGACCCCCUGGGAAGUCCUCGUGUUGCACCCC